AAACCAAAACAAAACACAAAAAAAAGUUUCUUUUGAAUUGACCAGACAAUCAUGAGAGCUUCUAAUUUCUAUUAUGGUUGUUUGCUGCUUCUUUCCUGUUUGAUAUGGAGAAGAUUGGAAGAGGAUGCCCUAUUAAAGGGAGAGUGAUAGACUUGAAGAUUGAUAUAGUAUCCCAAUUUUAGAGAUAGCCCCACAAAAAAUGCGCAUGAAGAUGUAGCAAAAGGAGACCUUGGAUGAAACAAUAAAAGCAUGUCGAUCCCCUUUGUACCUGACUUUUUGCAAGAACGUGCAUUCGAUGCAGUAUCUACUUUCUUAACAAGGCAAUUAGGCUACGUGUGGGAUUACGAGAAAAGAUUCGUCGAUGUAAGCAAAGAAGUCGAGGCUCUCAAGAAUGACAGAGAUGGGGUGCGUGAUAAAGCCGAAGAAGAUGAAGGACGAUAUGGAAGAGCAAUAUAUGAUAAUGUUGAAGAAUGGUUGGGUCGUGUGGAUGCAAUUGUCGCUGAAUAUGAAAUAUUCAAACAAGAACAUGAUGAUAAUGGAGAGUAUGCACUUGCUUUUCCAUUUCAAAAUCUAGACACAAGAUAUCAUCGCAGCAAAAAAGCAGAAGAUAUCAAAGAAAGGGUUGAAGGAUUGCAAAAUGAGAAGCAUGAUAGUAUAUCUCGGUGGCAGGGCCCACCUUCUUCAAUGGGUUAUGCGCUUCCUUCUGUUGAAUAUGAAGACCUUGAUUCAAGAAAACAAAAUAUGGAAGAUGUUAAAAAAGCCUUGGAAGAUUCGAGUGCUACAAUGGUUGGUGUUCACGGCCUAGCUGGUACGGGAAAGACUACUUUGGUCAUAAAAGCUAUUAACACACUUCAAAGUGGAGAACCAAAGUUAUUUGAUAUGGUGAUUAUGGCAAAUGUGGGCAAAAAUCCAGACAUCAGAAAAAUUCAAGGGCAGAUUGCUGACAUGCUCGGAAUAACAUUGCAAGAGGAGAGUGAGUAUGCGAGAGCUAUUCGUAUAAGAGAGAAAUUAAAAAAAGGAAAAAACAUCCUUAUAAUCCUUGAUGAUAUGUAUGCAAAAGUGGACUUGGAUGCGUUGGGAAUUCUAUCACAGAGUAAAGAUGACAAGAAGAAUCUCAUUCUCAAACAAGGAAUAACUAAGGCAGAAACAAAGAAUUUUGUUGGCGGUGGACAAAAUUUGCCAGGACUAAAAUCAGGAAUUGCUAACAGGACGAUAACAGAGAAAAAAAUCGAAGACACCUCUAGUGGUUCUAAUAAAGUAGAAAAAGUAUCACAAGAGAAUAAAAAAGGAUGCAAAGUUUUGCUAAUUUCUGAGGCAAAACGAGUAUUGAACCAGAUGGAUGUGAAUACAAAUUCAAUUAUCUCUUUGGAUAUCAUAAAUUCUGACGACGCCAAAACAUUGUUCAAAAAAAAGGUAGGAAUAACAGAGGAGAAAAAUUCUGAUCUUGAACGGCUAGCCAUUGACAUUGCCAAGAAGUGUCACGGGUUGCCCAUAUCAAUAGUUACAACUGCAAAGGCAUUGAAAAAUCAAAACGGCUCAGUUUGGGAGGAGACCCUUAAAACACUUGAAAGACAAAAGCUUGCAGGAACACCUGAGUAUUCUACAAAGUUGAGUUAUGAGCUUUUAGCAAAUGAGGAGCUCAAGCUUAUCUUCUUGCUUUGUGCUUGCAUGGGUCAAGAUGCAUUGGUCUCAGACUUAGUGAGACUAUGCAUUGGUUUGGGUUUUCUUGAAGGCGUCUACACAGCAAAGGAAGCCAGAGAUCAAGUGCAAAUGUUGCUUAUUCAUUUAAAAGACUCGGGUUUGUUGUCUGACAGUUACUCGAAUGAUCGUUUCACGAUGCAAAACCUUGUUCGCAAUGCAGCUUUGUUGAUAGCAUCAGAGAAUAAUGUGUUCGUGCUGGCAAAAAGAAAGAUAGAUGAAUGGCCUGAUGAUGAUAAACUUGAAAGGUACACUUCUGUUUUCUUACAUCAUUGUGAUGUCAACACUGAGGAGUUUCCUAAAAGUUUAAAAUGUCCGAAACUGAAAGUCUUUCAUUUUCACAACAAUCAUCAACAUUUCAAAAUACCAAAAGACUUUUUCCGAAAAAUGAAAGAACUUAGAGUGUUGGUUCUGCUUGGCAUUGAUCUAUCCAAAAUGUCUUCAUCGAUGCAAUGCCUAACAAAACUCCGAAAGCUUUGUUUGGAGCAAUGCAUUAAUCUAGAUGAGGAAUUAUGCAACAGUAUUGGCACGUUCAUGAAGAAUCUAAGAAUUCUAAGCUUUUCUGGAUCUGAUAUUAAAAGCUUGCCUACUAAAUUGAAAGGGUUGUCAAAGCUGCAAAUUCUUGACUUAAGUAAUUGCUCCCAACUAAAAUCAAUUCAAGCUGGUGUAAUAUCUAGCUUGACUAAUUUGGAGGAGUUGUACAUGAGAAACACUUUGGUUGAAUGGAGGGUGGAUAACAGAGAGGAAAGUGAAAACAAAAAUGCUAGUCUUUCAGAGUUGGGACAUCUAAAUCAAAUAACAAAUGUUGACUUACAAAUCCCAAGUGUUGCCCAUUUGCCAGAAAACUUAUUCUUUGAUAAGCUGCAUAGCUAUAAAAUUGUAAUUGGCUCGUCAAGUACACAUUUGGAGCCAGAUUUCAAGAUUCCGGAGAAAUAUCAACUGUUGAGGUAUUUGGCAAUACUGGAGAAAGAUGUUGGCAUUCAUUCUCAGAAAGGGAUCAAAAUGUUGUUUGAAAGAGUUGAGAAUUUGUUGCUGGAAGAACUCAACGGUGUCCAAGACAUCUUUUAUGCACUGAAUUUGAAAGGGUUUCCAUGUCUUAAGACUUUAUCCAUUGUGAGUACUUGUAGCAUUCGAUAUUUGAUCAACCCACAGGAGAGGAAGCAUCCUGAGAAUGCUUUUCCGAAACUGGAGACAUUGCACCUCUACAAGCUCGAUAACAUGGAGCAACUAUGCUCUCGUGUCUCACUUUCAUCAUCCUCAUUUUGUAAACUGAAAGUUGUCAAGAUUAAGCUUUGUGGUUUAUUAAAGAAUGUCUUUUUAAUGUCUACGGUCAAGCAUUUGGUUGCUCUUCAAACAAUUGAAGUUUCAGAAUGUAACUCUCUAAAGGAGAUUGUGUUUGCGGAAGAUCCACAAGAUGCUAAUGCGUCGAAGUCUCUUAAGUUUCAAGAAUUACGCACUUUGACAUUAAAAUCAUUACCUGAGUUUCAUGGAUUCUGUUCCAUUUCAUCUACAGCGCAACAAAAAGUAUUGUUGGAUGAACAGGUUGAAUUCUCAAAAUUAGAGAGAUUAGAGUUGUGCUCUAUCCAAAUCCACCGAAUAUGGAAUGGCAAAAAUCCUCCUUUUGAAAAAUUGGUACACUUGGAAGUGAAUGGUUGUGAUAAUUUAAAAAGUUUGUUAACAUUGUCUAUGGCUAUAAAUAUGAAGACUCUCCAAAGUCUAUCUGUCAGCGAGUGUGACAACAUGAUGCAUAUUCUUCUCAACGAGAACAGCAAUGAUACUCAAAGUGAAAAGAAGGUUACCAUCUUUCCAAAUUUGAAGAGUAUUAAAGUGAGAAGCAUGAAGAGUUUGAGUGGGAUAUGUGAUAAAGAAUUUGAACUCCCAAAAGCCUCUUUCGAAAAGUUGGAGAGCCUAGCCAUUGAUGAGUGUCAUAAACUGGUCCAUGUUUUCACUUCUAAUGUGGUGGGAAUAUUUCAGCAUGUAAGCAACUUAAGCGUUACUAAUUGUAAGUCAAUGAAAGCUAUAUUUCAGCCAGAAGGUUGGGAAAAUAAGCGAACUUCUAAGGAUGCAACACCCAAGUUGCAAGAUGUUCAUUUUGAAUCACUUCCAAAAUUAGAGCACAUGUUCAACAUGAAGAAAAAACAGCUUGAAGGGAUUCUUAAGUUAAACAAUUUGCAUAAGAUAUGGGUUCAAGAUUGUAAAAGGUUGGAAAACAUAUUUUCUGCUCCUGUCGCUAAAACACUUGAAAAUAAUCUUGAAGAGCUUGUGGUCUCGGAUUGCUCUCAAUUGAGGGAAAUUGUUGCCAAGAAAGAAGAAGAAGAUGCCAGCAGUCUUACUAAACUUAACUUUUUGAAACUGGCAACCAUCAAAUUUUUGAGACUACCAAAAUUCACGAGUUUCUAUCCAGGAGCUUAUGGAAUAGAAUUUUCAGCACUCAACAACUUGUCUAUUCAACAAUGUGACAAGUUGGAACCAUUCAGAGAAGAAGAAAUCAUAGAUGAACAAACAAAGCUUGCCCUCUUUCCUGAAACGGUAAUGAACAAUUUGAAGUCAAUUCAAAUUGAGUCGAGACAUGCAAUGUCAUCGACUAACUAUGAUUAUCGAAGGGAUAAUCUAGAAGAGCUUCACUUAUCUGGACUGAAGGAUACUAAAAUUCUGUAUUCUUUCCUUUAUAGCAAUCCUAAUAUGAAGAAUCUAUGCUUGAAAGAUGCUUCUUUUGAAGAAUUGGUGCCUCUUGAAAGGCUUGCUAAGAUUGAAAGCUUAGGAGUUGUCCCACAGCUGAAAAGCUUGAAGUUAACAGAUCUACCAAAUCUUGAGAACAUUGGCUUCGAAAGAGACCCAAUUCUUCAAAGGAUAGAGACAUUGGUUUUUCAAAAUUGCCCAUGGUUGAAUACCAUAGCACCUUCUAAUGUAUUUUUCUCUCACUUGACAAAGCUUGAAGUGGUUGACUGUGAAAGAUUAGAAUAUUUAAUGUCACCAUCAACUGCAAGAAGCUUGGGUCAACUCAACAGCAUGAAGGUAAUUAAUUGUGAAUCUCUUGAGGAAAUUGUAUCAGAGGAAGGACAAGAAGAUAAUAAAGAGAAAGAUGACAUCAUUUUCAAACAAUUGACGACAAUUGAACUUGUGUCUCUCGAGUGCCUCGAAAGCUUUUGCAGGUCCAAGAGUUGUGCGUUUCAGUUUCCAUCAUUAGAGAAAUUUGUGGUGAGUGCUUGUCCCGAAUUGAAAAGUUUCUCCCAACAAGAACACAUGAAACCACUGCCCAAGUUGGGAAAAGUAUAUGUUGUCCAUGAAAAAGACAAGGUGGAAGCGUACUGGACAAACAAUUUACAAGAAACAAUACGAGAUAUAUUCAACAAAAAGAUAUUUUUCAAAGGCAUGGAGGAAUUAAGUGUUUCUCAUCAUCUUGCUCAUCUACAACAACUAUGGCAAUGCAAAGAAGAACGCCCACCACAAGGAGAAUUGUUUAACAAUUUGAAAACUUUGAAGCUGAGUGGUUGUGAGUUUGAACCAUACGCAAUUCCAUCAAAUGUUCUUUUCAGUUUCAAGAACUUAAAAGAAUUGGAAGUGGAUAGCUGCGAAAAAAUAACAGGAAUUUUUGAAAUGAAUGAUACUGAGAUUAAGGAAUUCCAACUGAAGAAGCUAACUUUGGAAUGGCUUCCAAAUGUGACACAUGUGUGGAACCCGGAAAAACAAGGAAUUCUCAGCUUCAAAAGUCUACAAAUAGUGACUGUCAAUACGUGUAAGGAUUUGAGAACUAUAUUUCCUAUAGCCUUGGCCAGAGAUCUUAAGAAGCUUGAGAAACUUGAUGUUAGCGUAUGUGAUGAGUUAUCCAAUAUUAUAGAAGGUGGAACUGUUGAUGAACAUCUUGUGUUUCCUUGUUUAACCACAUUGGCAUUGUCCUAUUUGCCAAAUCUUACUGGCUUUUGCUCUCAGAAGUUCACUCUGGAAUGCCCUAAGUUAAAUUGGUUGGGCGUAUAUAAUUGCAACGAUCAACCGGAGCUAUUUCAGAGUCAAGGAGAGGAAAACCAAAACAGCACCUCAACUGCUAAGCAACCACUUUUCAUGAAUAUAAAGGAUAUUUCCAAGAUGGAAAAUUUGAUUCUGAAUUGGAGACACACUGAAGAUUUAAGUUCAUGGUUGAAUAACGAAAAUCUUGAGAGUUUGAAUGAACUUGUCCUUGUUGAUGAUGAUGGGAAGAGUAACUGUAAUGUGCCGGUUAAAUUAUUUAAGAAGACACCCAAGUUGGAAACACUGAAAGUAAUAGGCCUUUACUGUGAUGAAAUCCUCAAAAAUAUAUUUCCCUCCGAUGAUGAAGCUACUAAUAAGGAGAUUCUUGGAAACUUAAAAGAAUUGAAGCUAUACAAGUUAGAUGAGUUGAAAUCCAUGAGUGGGGUAGAAUACUUGUCAAAGCAGCUGCGUGUAUUACAUGUUUAUAGAUGUCCAAAAUUGAUGACAACAAUAGUGCUACAAUCUUCCUCCAAUCUGAAAGAACUGCACAUAGAAUCAUGUGAUGCAAUGCUGCGUCUAUUCACAUCUUCAACAGCGAAAAUGCUAAUACACCUUGAGGAGUUGCAAGUUGAGAAUUGUGAAUCAUUGAAAGAAAUCGUGGGGGAAGAACAGGACGAAGUUAUUGAAUUUAAGCAGCUACAGAGGAUAACCCUUAGAUAUUUGGAAAGCCUGGAAUGCUUUUAUUCAGGGAAUGCCACUUUGAAGUUCCCCUCUCUCAUUCAACUGGACAUAGUGUAUUGCUCAAAGAUGAAAGUUUUCUCUCAUGGAAAUGUCCCCCACAUUUCUAGAAGGAUUCAAGUUUCUUACAACGACUCAAGUGAUGAUUUGGUCUUCCACCGUGAUCUUAAUAAUGCCGCUGUAUUGCAGUCUCUAAGUAAGAUACGUCUUGAUCUUGGCAAUCACUCGGAGCUGAAAGAUUUAUGGCUUGAUAAAGUACAUAUCCCAGAUGAGGCCUUCUUCUCUGGUUUUAAUUUAGCAAUUCUGGUGGUGAAAGGGUGUGAUGAAUUCUUUACAACCGCAAUACUACCUUCUCAUUUACUUCCCUUCCUCAGUACAUUACAAGAAUUGGAGGUGCGGGAAUGCAAUUCUGUUGAGGCCAUAUUUGAAGUCAAAGAUACACCAGCAAAUAUUGUUAUUCCUUUGAAGAAAUUGACUUUGGAGAAACUUCCAACUUUGAGCCAUGUUUGGAAAGGAAAGCUCAGUCUUCCAAAAUUAGAGGAGGUUAUUGUUGAUGAAUGUGCAAGCUUAAAAUCGUUAUUCCCAGAAUCAGUUAACAUACAGAGGUUAGAAGUGAAGAAUUGUGAGAAGUUAGUUGAAAUUGUCACAAGAAAUGAACUAGCCAAAGAAGAUGCAGAUAAACAGGUUAAUAUCUUUUCCGAGCUAUCUUGUCUGAAGCUGUGGAAUUUGCCAAAUCUGAGCUACAUUUAUCAUGGAAUGGAAGACUCUGAAUUUUCAUUAUCAAAUGCAUUACUACCUUGGCAUAUAAUACCUUCUCUUCAUAAAUUGGAAGAGUUGGUGGUUGGGAAUUGUGGUUCCUUUGAGACAAUAUUUGAUGUGAAAGAUACAGACAUAAUUCCUGUGAAGACCAUAUUUGAAGUCAAAGAUACACUAAUAGAUAUUUCUUUGAAGAAAUUGACUUUGGAGCAUCUGCCAACACUAAGCCAUAUUUGGAACAAGGAUCCUAAAGGAAGUAGUCUUGGCUUUCUAUGUCUGGAGGAAGUGGUUGUGAAUGGAUGUAAAAGCCUCACAAGCUUGUUGCCAGCAUCAUUGCCCAUGUCUAACAUGAAAAAGAUAAAUGUAAAAAACUGUGAGGAAUUGGUUGAAAUUGUUACAAAAGAUGAAGCAGACAAUAAAGAAAUAAAUAAGGAGCUUACUAUGUUUCCUAAGCUAACUUCAUUGACUCUGCACAAUUUACCAAAUCUUACAUACAUUUAUGCUGGAAUGGAAAUUCUAAAUUUGCCCGAGUUAAGAGAGUUGGAUAUUUCUCAUUGUAAAUUUGCAACAGAUUCCACUGCAAAGGUUGCUACCCGUCAGUUAGAGAGAGUGUCAAUAGACAUGGAAGGUGUGAUGAUGCUUGACAAAGGAGUGCUUCAUUUGGACCCCGAAAACAUAAAAUAUCUGAGAUUGCAGGGCUUUAAUGAUAUUCAUGAAUCAGAUGCCGCAUCUGUCUUUGAUUUCUUUCCAAAGGUUCCACUUCCCAAUAUUCAGAUGCUUGGAGUGGCUGACAGUGCUUUCAAAGAGAUAUUCCCCUCACAAAAGCCUGAGAUUAUUCAUUCACAGUCACAACUGCUUAUUAGCAAAUUGGAACUGAGGAAUCUGCACAAGCUUGAAUCUAUUGGGUUAGACCACACCUGGGUAACCUUCUCUAAUCUCACAUCGCUAAAAGUUGAGGGUUGUGCAUCUUUGAAGUAUUUGUUCACUUCUUCAGCCGCCAAAUGUCUUGUUCAACUUGAACACUUGCACAUAUCCAACUGUGAAGCACUCGAAAGUUUAAUGCUGGAUUAUCAACUACAUGAUGGUGAUCAUGAUGUCAUCAUAUUCGAAAAGUCAACUUUGAAUUUUCCAUCUCUGAAGGAAGUCGAGGUUACUGAAUGCAACAGACUGGAGUACAUGUUCACAUUCUCAACUGCCAAAAGCUUGCAUAAAUUGAGGAAUUUGAAAAUUUCCAAAUGUGAGUCAUUGAAAACAGUAGUAUUAGCUACACAAGAGGCAGACGAGCCACAUGUGCUCACAUUUUCAUACCUCUGGAAUCUGUCUUUGAGCGAAUUGCCAAAACUUGGAAGCUUUUUCCCGGGAAAGUCAACUUUGAUGUUCCCACGUCAUUUCUUUGAAGUUUGCAUCAGUCAAUGCAAGAGCAUGAAAACUUUCUCACACGGUGACGUGGAAGCACCUGAAUUACGAAAGGUGGAGAUAGACGGAGCGAGUUGCUCGACAAAUAAUCUAAAUGUUGCAGUCAAUCAAGAAUUUGAGAAAUGAACGAAGCAGCAUUGAUGAGUUAAUAUCAAAACUAGUAGUCCAAUUAAGGAGCAACGGACAAAUAAAUAAGGAUGGUUGGUUCUAUGGGACACCAAAUGCAGCAAUUAAGAGGAUAUAAGUGGAUCCCAUCAUGGCAACAAAUAUUCAUUUCUGUUUGAGUAGUGUAGUGUGGUGUGCAUGAUAUGCAUAAGUUCCCUGUAUCACUAUGCAGGAAGAAGUGUGAUUGCCUUUUAAGUGGCAUAGCUAUAAACUAAGUGUGUUUUAUCAAUAAAAUUAUAUCUUGUAUUUUAUACAAGAUGUAAGGUGUGUGUGCUUUGUAAUUUAUUGAGAACACUAGUGUAUUUUUAUGUAUGAUAGUGAAUUGGAAUAAUUUUAGACGAUUGAAGGAUUGUGGUUAGUGUUGAAGUCGUAAGAAGACAAUGCUCUGAAAAUAAAGUUGAGAAUGGUAUGUAGAUAUAUUUCUACGUAA